UUAAACCUCUUCCAGAGUAUCAAUUGGAGGGCAAGUCUGGUGCCAGCAGCCGCGGUAAUUCCAGCUCCAAUAGCGUAUAUUAAAAUUGUUGCAGUUAAAAAGCUCGUAGUUGAAUUUCUGCUGCAUUGCUUGUGUCCCUCUGGGGUCUGUGCAUGUGGCUUUUUUCGGACGGAGUUUCUUUGUCUGAAUGUUUACUUUGAGAAAAUUAGAGUGCUCAAAGCAGGCUUUCGCCUUGAAUAGUUUAGCAUGGAAUAAUAAAGUAGGACUUUGGUUCUAUUUUGUUGGUUUUAGGUACCAAAGUAAUGGUUAAUAGGAACAGUUGGGGGCAUUCGUAUUUAACUGUCAGAGGUGAAAUUCUUAGAUUUGUUAAAGACGAACUACUGCGAAAGCAUUUGCCAAGGAUGUUUUCAUUAAUCAAGAACGAAAGUUAGGGGAUCGAAGACGAUCAGAUACCGUCGUAGUCCUAACCAUAAACUAUGCCGACUAGAGAUUGGAGGUCGUCAG
rnacentral:rRNA from 1 species